UGCCCAGUAACUCCUAUCCCUGCCUCCUCGUGGUAUCGGCUGGAAACUACGAGCAACCUUAGGGAAGAUCGGGUGGG
rnacentral:ribozyme from 1 species